rnacentral:rRNA from 1 species
GGAAACCGGGGCUAAUACCGGAUAGUUCUUUUCCUCGCAUGAGGAAAAGUGGAAAGGCGGCUUCGGCUGCCACUUACAGAUGGACCCGCGGCGCAUUAGCUAGUUGGUGAGGUAACGGCUCACCAAGGCAACGAUGCGUAGCCGACCUGAGAGGGUGAUCGGCCACACUGGGACUGAGACACGGCCCAGACUCCUACGGGAGGCAGCAGUAGGGAAUCUUCCGCAAUGGACGAAAGUCUGACGGAGCAACGCCGCGUGAGUGAUGAAGGUUUUCGGAUCGUACAGCUCUGUUGUUAGGGAAGAACAAGUGCCGUUCGAAUAGGGCGGCACCUUGACGGUACCUAACCAGAAAGCCACGGCUAACUACGUGCCAG